UACGUAGGGUGCAAGCGUUGUCCGGAAUUAUUGGGCGUAAAGAGCUCGUAGGCGGUCUGUCGCGUCGGGGAGUGAAAACUCAGGGCUUAACCCUGAGCCUGCUUCCGAUACGGGCAGACUAGAGGUAUGCAGGGGAGAACGGAAUUCCUGGUGUAGCGGUGGAAUGCGCAGAUAUCAGGAGGAACACCGGUGGCGAAGGCGCCACUCUGGGCCGGUACUGACGCUGAGGAGCGAAAGCGUGGGUAGCAAACAGG
rnacentral:rRNA from 1 species